AGCUUUGCGCAGUGGCAGUAUCAUAGCCAAUGAGGUUUAGCUGAGGUAUGAUUAUUGCUAAUUAAAUUAAUUACAGCUACAUUAAAAGUUCAGUUCCUCAGACACACUAGCUACACUUCAGAUUUUUAAUACACACAUGUAAUUUAGAGCUGUUAUAUUGGAGAAUAUAGAUAUAU
ensembl:snRNA U4 U4 spliceosomal RNA